rnacentral:rRNA from 1 species
GACGAACGCUGGCGGCGUGCUUAACACAUGCGAGUCGAACGGAAAGGCCCUGCUUGCAGGGUACUCGAGUGGCGAACGGGUGAGUAACACGUGGGUGAUCUGCCCUGCACUUCGGGAUAAGCCUGGGAAACUGGGUCUAAUACCGGAUAGGAGCCAUUUUUAGUGUGAUGGUUGGAAAGUUUUUUCGGUGUAGGAUGAGCUCGCGGCCUAUCAGCUUGUUGGUGGGGUAAUGGCCUACCAAGGCGGCGACGGGUAGCCGGCCUGAGAGGGUGGACGGCCACAUUGGGACUGAGGUACGGCCCAGACUCCUACGGGAGGCAGCAGUGGGGAAUAUUGCACAAUGGGCGCAAGCCUGAUGCAGCGACGCCGCGUGGGGGAUGACGGCCUUCGGGUUGUAAACUCCGUUCGCUAGGGACGAAGCUUUUUGUGACGGUACCUAGAUAAGAAGCAGCGGCUAACUACGU